GAAUAAAAUAAUAUCAGAAGUAUGUGUAUGAUACCUAUGCAUGCCAAAAGUUUACUUGCAUGAUAAUAAUUCGAAAAUGACAUACACAUAGAUAAAUGCAACUAGUUAUUCAAAAUCAGUGUAAGGGGCCUGGGAACGACUGCGUUGCCUUGACAACAAAAUUAGAAGUAUUUUCCCAUGCGUCUCAUCAUGUACUAUCCGUAUGCAAAAUGUCAUUUGAUUUGAGCCAAUAAUAACUGAGCUAUGCUUCAGUUUACUAUUCAUUAAACA